AUUGAACGCUGGCGGCAGGCCUAACACAUGCAAGUCGAGCGGAUGAAGGGAGCUUGCUCCUGGAUUCAGCGGCGGACGGGUGAGUAAUGCCUAGGAAUCUGCCUGGUAGUGGGGGAUAACGUCCGGAAACGGGCGCUAAUACCGCAUACGUCCUGAGGGAGAAAGUGGGGGAUCUUCGGACCUCGCGCUAUCAGAUGAGCCUAGGUCGGAUUAGCUAGUUGGUGGGGUAAAGGCCUACCAAGGCGACGAUCCGUAACUGGUCUGAGAGGAUGAUCAGUCACACUGGAACUGAGACACGGUCCAGACUCAGACGGGAGGCAGCAGUGGGGAAUAUUGGACAAUGGGCGCAGGCCUGAUCCAGCCAUAUCGCGUGGGUGAAGAAGGCCUUCGGGUUGUAAAGCCCUUUUGUUGGGAAAGAAAAGCAGCAGGUUAAUACCCCGCUGUUCUGACGGUACCCAAAGAAUAAGCACCGGCUAACUUCGUG
rnacentral:rRNA from 1 species